UCUCCGUAGGUGAACCUGCGGAGGGAUCAUUACAGAGUUCAUGCCCUCACGGGUAGAUCUCCCACCCUGUGUUAUUAUACUUUGUUGCUUUGGCAGGCCGCCCGCGUGGGCUACCGGCUCCAGCUGGUAAGUGCCUGCCAGAGGACCCCAAACUCUGAAUAUUUUAUUGUCUGAGUACUAUGUAAUAGUUUAAAACUUUCAACAACGGAUCUCUUGGUUCUG
rnacentral:misc_RNA from 1 species